rnacentral:lncRNA from 1 species
GCCUGCUUUCACACACUAUUUUGGAAAUACCCUACUAACUAGCCACUUGGCACCACUUGGCCUUCUCAACCAAGCUACCUUACUCUAUAUAUUUCAACCUUCCUAUAUCAAUAAUCUCUCUCUCUCUCUCUCGCUAGCUUGCUCUCUCUCUCUCUCUCUCUAUUUUGGAAAUACCCUUAUAACAAGCACAUAUGGCCUCUAGCAUCCUUGCUUAUUAUUUGCAACUUAUCUCCAACCUUAUCCAAUCCCUUUAUUUUGCUCAAGAAACUAGAAAGUUAGUACCUCCCCUACCAUGAUCAAAUUCUUGCGAAAGAAAAUAGUUGCUCCAUGUCCGGCCUCCUGUGUAAAACACAUAAUACAAUCAAACUAAACGGAGAUGUUUUUGUUGGAUGGAUUUGAAAUUUGCAAUUAUUUUGGGCCACAUCUUUUGUGGAACUUGCACGUCUAAGUCCAAUCAAUUAUGGAUAAAAUUUGGCUAUCAUGGGUGCAUCAAUCAUGCAAACAUGCUGCUUUUUCUGAAAAUUAUUAAUUGAAAAUUAUUAAUCCUUUAUUUUCAAAAUUAAUUUUAUUUAUUUUUAAAAAUCAAUGCCUAGAAAAAGUUACUUCUGCUGGGAUUGUUGAAAGGCCCUUCUUGAAAACAUAUUCAAUAAUCUGAACGAAAAGAAAUUGCUCGGGCUAUUUUCAAAUUUACAUGAAGUUUAGUACAGGUUUGGGAUCAACCUAGAACCCAAAAUUAAUUUUGAUCUUGGAUUCAUGCUCUCAUGAAUGAAUCUGUUGGUCAAACAAGGUUUAAUCUCAAUCUGUCAGACCUUCCUUGAAGUAAAAGUUGUAGAUAAAAUAUGCCUAGCUAUAAUGAAUUUCUAGAUCAAAUAAUGGUUGUGGAUUGAUUGGCCUAGUGCAAAAACCCUAUAGCAGCUUGCCCCCUCUCCCACCUCCUGUUUCUACCUUGAAAUAUUUUUUUUUAAAAAAAAGGAAAAAUCACCCUUGAACCCAGUUUCUGAGCAAUACCUAGGUGGACAACUUGGUUCAGAGGUGGUUUGGGUUUAUUUCGAGAUGAACCAGGCAACAAGCCUUGAUUUGCCCUAAAACCUCUCAAUCAACCCUUCGUACGGGUAGUUUGGACGAGGACGAGAUGAUAUGGAACUGAGCCUACCUAUACCAAGCAGAUCGGGUGUGCGCCAAACUCUUGGCGUUUCCAAACUUGCACGCUACAUAACAAAUAGUUUAUACAUUUUUAUUUUUUCAAAAUAGAUUAUUUUAUUAGCUAUGAAUAUGUAAUCACUUAAUGAUUUUUUUUUUUUUGGUCUCCCCUCCGCCACCCAACCCCUGACCCCUCUUAUUCACUCCCCAAGACAACAAUCCUAGCUCCACCCCAAUUUACAUGCAUGCAUCUGCGCAUAUGUGCUAGUGCAUGCUGUGGUUAUUACCUGAAAGCUUCCAGUAACUUACUAAUGUGGAAUGGGUUAUUGAUUAUUAUGCUCGGAUCAUAUAUAAAUUAUGCUCUGAACAUAUAUAAAUUAUGCUCGGAUCAUAUUAUACACAGAUAAUUGACAUCACUUCUAGUUACUGCUGUCGUUAUACUUCAUUGCACUAUGGCUCUAUAUACUUCUACUUCUCUUGCAUGUCUUCUGAAGAAUAUUAGUUCACCAUCCAGACAAUGUUGGUAUUUUUUAAAUGAACAAAGAUGGAUUUUGGAGAAUCUAAUAUAACAUCCUCCAUGUGACUCAUCUGAUAUUGGUAUUAUUUAUGAUUGUAUGUGUCCUUGUCAUUUUUUAUCUAUUUCAGAACUUCAAAUUUUUGUGACUUACUGCACAAAAUUGUUUGAUUUUACCAUAUUGGUUAUGGAGGACCGAUUGUCAAAUAUGUGAGUCAACUUUUCUUGUCUGUGCUUUGACUCCUUUUUCUUUUUCAGAAAGGGAUGCUUUUGUUUGAGUCAGCUCAGUUUGAUGGAAUAAUGAAGAAGAUAUCAGAGUUCAAUGCAGGGCUAUUGUCUGAUAUGGUAAAUAUUAUCUGAUAGAAUUUAUGAGUUGGUCAUUGUCAAUUGAUGAGAAUGCCGCUUGCUUACCAUGUUGGGCUUUUAUGGCAUUGCACUGCCUCAUGCAUGACUAUUCAGCUUGUAAAAAGAUUCGCUUGCUUGACAUAACUAGUUGCAUCUUGCUUUGGCUGCCAUCCAUCAUAUAAUAAUCUAAGUUGUAUUAAGGGCUCUUUGUAUACUGAGUUGCUGUGGCCAUGUAUGUUUCCUAUGUGGUUGGUGUUGGGUGAGGAAAGAGGGUGGCAAAAGGGGGAAUAUGGGAAGACUGAGGAGGCAUAGCAGUCUGACAGAGAAGAAUUUAGGGACAUUUAGGGAAGUUUUGACUUUCAAGUCCACAGCACUUGCUCAUCUCAGCUGUCUCCCACUCUUUUUGGAGUUAUCCUCUGAUCCAACAUUUGAGCGUCCAUGGAGGCGCUAAAUGAUUGGUCAAUCAAUAUUUUAGCUGGAGUGCCUGUGAGAAAUGGGCUUAUAUUUGUCUUUAUCACAAGCUCUGUUCUAUGAUUGCAAUAUACAAGUUAUACGGACAUUCCCUGAUAGAAGUUAUAAAGCUUGUAGAAUACAUGUAUGUUACUUUUUAUGGAUGCAUAAUAGAGAAAAUGCAUGAAAUACAUUGUUGAAAGGUAAGAGACAAAAGAAUUGAAGUGGAAUUGCCGAAUAAUGAGCUGUUAGGGUAUGACAAGCUUCUCCAGUCCUCUGAAUACAAGUAGUUUUGGGAUGGCCUCCUUUUGCAUAGAAAUCCCACCAAUGAGCAUUUCAUGCCACAAUAAAAGAAGAAGAAAGAGAAAAAAUAAGACUUGUAAGCAACAAAAUCCCGAAUGGAAGGCAGGACAGCUAUGCAUUCUCUGUCCAUACAAUCAAUAUGUACAGAGUCAACAGCAGACUGAUACUAAAUUUGUAUCUGUUGUAAUGUAAGUACACUACAACAUGUUUUAUACUAUUUGACAACCAUAAUCCAUGUUCUAUUACAUGUUAUUGAGGAAUAGUUAAUAAUUAUCAAGGUGUUUAAAAAUUUUGGUUGAGUUUCUAGCUUAAAUAUCUUGAGAACUAUGCAAAUGCUAUCGUUGUCCUUUAACUUAAGAUAUGAUGAUCAUACUUCUGUCUGGUGGCCUUAUCAAUGAAUCUAGGGCUUUUUUUGACACUAGGUGAUAUGUUGAUUAUGGAAACUCUAUCCUAACAGUUGGUUCCCUAUGUCCUAACCGAAGGAGAUGAGUUAGGGAUGUCUACUUAUAGUUCUCAUUGCUUCAACUUCUUCAUCUUGUAUUCUGUAUUUUCUGCUGUGGGCUACUCAGACAGAGGGGGUGGUAGUUUGUUAUGUUUUUUAUAGUUCAUAUUUAUAUUAGUUUCUUUUGGCAGGAGCAGAAAUCUUUGUCCUUGACGGAUCUUGAGUUGUCAAGGUUGGAUGCCAUUGUCAAAAUUUUAAAAGAUGCAUCACAUUAUCACUGCAGUAAAUUUGCAGAUGCUGAUGUUGUCUUGUUGUUGAAGAUAUUGAAGUCUUGGCCACUUUCAAUGAUGUUUCCAGGUGAAUCCUCUCUAGCACUCGGCACUUUUUUCUUUCCUUUUUUCUGUUAAAGGACUUUUUUCUUUCCUUUUUGCUGAUAAAGGUGCAUUGCAUAAUGUGUUUGUAAAAUUAUUUCAAAAUUGCUUCACAUAUGUAUCAUCAUGCAUCUUGAUACUGAGAAUAUAGUUACAUAUCUUGGCUUCAAAUUAAAAAAUGGUACGAUUUACAGGCUUUCAUUAUCCAGCUUGACAUAUAUGCUUACAGGAGAUUACUGGUUCUGACAUAAUUUUAAUUCUCCCACUUCUAUCUUUCUGUAAACAGAUUCUCAUUAUUAUUUUUAUUCUUUAAAACAAUUGUAUCAUGAUGUUCAGUUAUUCCCCUGCAAAAUAACAAAAUUAUGUUGAUUUUGCCAAGGGAUUGUUUCAAUAUAUUAAGUUAAUUUGGUUCAAAUAUCCUUUUGAGUUUUUUAUUGGCAUUUUGUUCUCUCAGGCCCAAACUAUUUCCUAUUAGGUAUUUGAAUUCUUUUUUAUGCUAUUCUUUUCCCUCAAGCCAAAAUUGUCAUCAAGCAAGUCAUCAAGGUUGGUUGUGAAAAGGCCUAGGCGGGCAGCUGCCAAUGGAGCCCUCCAAUGCUUCAAAUAUGCAUCCCUAAGCUUACAAAUAUGUGGCUGAGUAUACAUGCAUUAUUAUCUUAUAUAUACACCCCAUUCAGUAUAUAUUUCAUCAUCAAACCUAUAUUUUACAAUAAAGGAAGUCCAAAAAACACCAAUUUUCACAAGAACUAAACAUUAAUACAAUAACAAGAUGAUGCUAACAUAAUAUAGGCAUAUAAAGUUAACACUAGCAAAUAACAAACACAAGUAGCACAAAAUGAUGAAUACUACUAAUGAUCCAACAAAAUCAACAUGAAUCAUGGUUGUAGACUUGCAGCGAUGCAGUCCAUCAUCACAAUCUAUUCGCUUUCUGAGGAAAAGAUAAAUAAAAAUUUUCCAAAAGAAAUAGUCAAUUCGUAAUUCCGUACGAUCUCACUUGAAAAGCCAUCAAAAUCUUUCCAAAUCACAACCUAAUGAGUUUAAAACUUUUGUAACCUAAACUAGAACUAAAUGUAGGGCCUUUAGAUGAUAAUCAUCCUCAUUAUAGGACUUAGAAACCUUCUAGAAAAUAACUCUAAAAAUUAAUUCGAGCAUUGAAAGGAAACAACAAAUACAUGACCUACUUCCAAAGGAAGAUACGCAACACAAAGCCCAUCUUAUGCCAGGAUUUAUGCAUGCAAAACUUAGUUACUUCAGCAUAUUUAUGCACCUAAGCAGAUGCCUAGGUGCUAAGCGGACAAGUUCAAAAACACAGCAAAUCACUUAAGAUUAUCAUGUGAUACUUCCAUCCACAUAAUUGUAGGCCUACCCUCCAUCCAGCCCCAUCUACCUGUACCUCCAUUCCUUUUUUAUUGGUGCCUCUUCAAGUAACGUAUUAUAAAACCAAAACAUCUUAAUUUGUAAUUUAUAAGUGGACUUUAUUUAAAUAAGUUUGGGCUUGUUUUUUGAUUUCUUAUUUGCUAUUUUUAUCUUUGUUCUACAUGAUGUAUACUUUAGCAUCCUUGUUUCCACUAUUUUUAACUUUUGAGCAUCCACUCUGUUGGUUGCCCAACAUUUUGAGCAUAUAUAUUACUGGAUCAACUGUCUUUUAUGCAAUUCGCAUUCAAGUUCCCCAAUAUGUACCUAUCACUCUGUGUUCCAUCCACCUUGUACUUCAGCAGACUUAUUCUAAUCCUUAUUUGGAUACAGAUCAAACUUGCCUUUUAUAUACACUGUUUUAGAAUAUUUUGCUAUUUUCUGUUCUCAGAUUGUUUCUAAUCAUUCAAGCUGCACAAUUAAUUUAUUUAGUGGAAUAUCAGAAAUGAAUCGGCCAUCAAUCACUGUCUAGUUAAGUUAUUUUUUUAUUGCUUGAUGGACAGUUAACAUUGCAAAUCUUGUAGUAGCACAUAUUAGGCAUCUCAACCUAGAUAUUUAGCUUGAUUGGAAUAUCACAUUGCUCUGGAUAAUUGAUUGGAACCCAUGUGCAUUCUCCAACAUAUUCUCAGGCACUGGGAUAUGCGAUUUGGUGGAGCUCAAUUGUUAUCACAAAUCCUGAAACUUUGUCUGGGUAUUUCUGGAAAUGAAUAGAAUCACAUCAUUUACUUAAGCAAAUGUUGAACAUACUAUACUGUACUUUAUCUCAUAAUGUUGCGUACUUUUCUAUUAUGUUCGUGCAUUUGUAAAACAUGUCUGACAUGGUCCAUUUGCUUCUACUUUGCAGUUAUAGAUAUUUUAAGAAUGAUAAUCUUGCAUCCAGAUGGGGCUACUUUACUUCACAAGCUCAUUGAGAAUGGAAAUGGUAUAGGCAAUAUUGUCCUGCUUCUAUUUUAAGAUAAGAGUAUUUUUUGACUUGAAAUUUCUAUUGAACUGUAAUUAACUGUAUAUAUCAUGGAUUCACGAGCACCAGAAGGGGAUGGUAUCAUCUGCACCAGUAUGGGUAAUAGGAUGUUGAAACCAUCCGCACCAAUACAUACUGGCUCUAUUCGUGUGUAUUGAUGGUAUUAUACCGACUCUGCCAGUCGAUACUAAUGGCUUUCAUUCUUUUUGGUGCUGUCAGUUUUGGUACAUAAUAUUGCUAACAGUAUCAAUACCGAUACUGUAUCAUUGGGUUUGAUGCUAGAAUUUAAAACAACGGUAUAUGUAUUGUAAGAAACCUUGUUGUUCAAGCAUGUUAGCCAUUUUAGAGCUAUUGUUUGAUUAAUCUAACCAACUAAUUGUAUCUUAAAGUUCAAGGCCUUUUAUUUUUUGUGACAGAUAUACUAAUGGAGACAUUUAAAAGAGCCACAGCAGCUCCUGCACAGGCUGCAAACCUUCUCACAAUGAUAAGAGCUAUUACAAACCUUUUCAAGCAUUCAUAUUUCUCUAACUGGUUACAAUCACAUUACAGUGAGGUUAGUUUUCCUUCACCAAGUAAGGUUUCUACGUAGUUGACAUAUGAGCUACUUCAUGUCUAAAGUGUGAAUGCUGGUCUCGUGUAACUUGAACUACUAAUUGUUAUUGCUAUAGUUGAUUUUUCUAGUGUUCAGGGGCCUGUUUGGAUUCAUCUUUGUGUGGAGCUCUCACAAGUGGGAGCUCGGUGAUGAGAGAGUGGUGCGUGAUGUUGCUAGGAAUCAAGGAGGCUAAUCAAUCUUCACAUAACCUCGAAUUAUUUAUUAAAUACCUUUCUGGAUGGAUUUUGGUAUCUCUUAAAACUUGGUGAUAGAAGAUAAGAAGAAUCCAUGGGCCUCCAUGGUUCCCCUACUCAUUCUUACCUCUGUUCCCCCCUACCCCUCCCCCAACAAAAAAAAAAUCUCAGCCUACUUGCAUUCUUGACUUUCAUGGUGCUGAUAUAGGCCUAGAAGGCCAAACUUGUGCGUUGAGCUGUAGAAACCACAGAAAAAGUAGUCCCAUAAAGGUCUAAAAAUGAUGAGGAAUGGCUGAGGACUUGUGGGGGUUGUUGAUCCCACAAACAAGAUAUGGUGUCCAAUAGGAAUCCCAAGCUUGGACAAACAAGUAAUGGGAACAGGUUAGCAAGGUUUGCAAUCUCAACCAUAUCAGCUGGUGCAGGGGAUAUACCAUAUCGUACCGGUAGGGCACCGAGACUCAAUAUUCCCCAUGUAUUUUGGUACCAAAGUAUGUAUUGACCAACACUCAGUAUAGGAAUUAGCGGUUGUGUAUUGGUACAGGGUUCAGUAUUGAGAUUGCAAACCUUUCGAGCUAGUAUAAAUGGUUUUUGAAAUGUUAAAGAAUCUUACCAUAGUAUACAAAUGAAGUCUACAAUUACAGGGUAAUAGGACACUAUGAAGGACCCUUGAAAUAUUUGGAAAACCACAAAAGAUAUUAAAUGGAUGGCCAAGGAAAAUGAUGGAAAGUGGCAUUCCUAGAUUUAGCUGUAGGUAGUGGGAAAAGGAUCGAUAAGCUUCUAAAGACUCCUUGGGAAUGACGACCGAAACAGUAAUGAUGCAAUGAAGGGAUCUUGAGGUAGAAUAGAUCAAAUUGACAAAUAAAACAAGCUCAAGGAUCUCUGAAAUAGCAGAAGGGGAGGUGGAAUGUGAAUGAACUGCUUAUCAAGGACCAUAUAAGCCAUUCAGUAUAUGGUUGGAAGUCCAGUGUGCACAGAAAACUGGACUGGAAGGAGACCUGUUUAAUAGAUCCUGAAUGGGGGUUCUUAUAUUGUCGCUUAUGUUGUCCAGUGACGAAGAAUGCGUAAAUCGUUUCUUCAAAAUCAUUUGCCACGUCAAUAUUUGAUUGAGGAUUGUAGGGACCUAAUGUUACAAAUUGAAGCUAUAAAUGGAAAGCUGUCAAGCCAAUGAACAAAAUCAUUUGCGCAUUCAAUGUUGAGGAAUUGUUGAUAGUUGCAAUAUGCCUGAUUCUGGCAUUGUUGCUUUAACACCCAGUAAAUGUUCAAAUAUGUCAUGGUGAUCUAUUCUAACCGUAGAAGUUGGAAAAGGGUCACCUUAGCACAAAAAGUGUAGAAAUUUUUCUAAAGGUCGUAAAUUAACAUCCUAGGGUUUCAAACCAUAGAAUCUAUAUCCAAGUCUUGGCGCAAGUGCAAUAUUUACAAAAGCACUUCAGGGGUGUUGAGGUGCGCUUAUGGCCCUAGUAUUGGCUGCAGGAUGCAUUUUUUUCUGAAUGAAGAACGAAAGCCUGGAGUUGUACAACACAUUGAAUAUGCAUCUGUAUGUACUAUGUACCAUAAAAUACACGUCAACACUAGAGUUUUACACAAUCAACAUCAGAAAGUCAGAUAUGGUUUUAACCAUGCUUAUGCAUUACUAAAACUUACAUGGAAAGAGGGCUUUAACUAGUUUAAUAUUGCUCUAUAUUUCAGGUUAUUUUGAUUCCAGUUAAUCUGCAACUAGUUUUAAUUCAUGAACAAAAUAAGUUUUGCCAUAAUUUGCGUAAAUAUGAAUUUAAACAGAAAGCCAUUCCCCAUCAAGAACUUAAUUUCAAAUAAUUAAUAUUUAAAAGUUUUCUUUGGUAAGUUUAAAACUGCUUGGUUUCUCUGUUUAAGACAAAGAAGGGAUUGUGGGGUUAACAUAAGUACUAGAGGUAAGAAUUAUGGGAAAAAUGAAUAAGAAUUAUGAAUUGAAGUAUAUACUUUCUGGCAUUAUUGAAGGCAAAAAAAAAUAUGAUUGUUUUAUUUAUGAUAGUAUUUGCAUUGAUCUUUGUCCAUUAUAUGAAUUCCCAGAUUUUGGAUGCAUUGUCAAGUUGCCGGUCGUUGUUCAACAAGAAUGCACAUCUAUCUUAUGCUACACUACUGCUAAAGUAAGUCUCGUACAGUGCAUAAAUCUAAAGAUUAGGGUUAUAGAUACUUUAUUCUAUUAAACAUUAAUCAUGAAAUCCAGACCCUUCUUAAGUGCCACUAAAAUUUCCAUAGGUGUCAUUGCUAACUUUUUUUGAUUCUAUGAGUUGUUCUAAUGAUUUUAUGGCUGUUUUGAAACUUCUAGAUAUUCUUGGUUGGGUAUCGCUGAGAGGGCCCUCGGUGAUAACUAUCUGUUAUGUCAAAUCUUGACUUUUCAUUAGCUCGUCUAGGUUGAAAAGUUAAUGCAUUUCAUUUUUUACCUAAUUGUUUUUUUUGAGAAAACCAAACUAUGAUAGUUAGUUUCUUCUGCAGGCUUGUCAAAUUUAUGUUGUAUAAUUGACUCUUGGAAAAUAAUUCUAACACUUAGGAUUCUUCUUAGCUAUAUUCUUUAUUUGAGAAUAACCCGUGAAAGGGAACAUGUAAACUCAACUUGUAAAAUUUAUACAUAUGGCACCCUAAGUAUAUAGGUAUAUGUUCUGAAGUUCAAAAUUUGAAGGUUAAAAGCAUUUUAGUUCUAUCUUUGCAUAUUAGACCUGCUCCAUAAGCAUGAAGAGCUCUCCUCGGAUUGUUUGCUCUUAUGUAAAGAGCUUCUGCUAGAAAUUUUGGAGUCACCAAGGAACUAUCAUCUAAUUUUGUGCUGACUGUAGCUCGAUAUGCUGGUUCUAAUCUCAAUUUAUUUUGAUCAUGUCACCAUCUUUUGGUCAACUUUGAGUAACUCAAAUGGAGGGGAAGCAUCAUGUGUGAGUAUUGGUUUAGUUUGAGCGAAAAUUGCCAACUUUGAGUCACAAUAUGCAUAGUUUUCCUGUUUCUUUUCUCCAAAAACAGCUGUUGUAUUUUAGGAGGUAUGCUUUGAUUCAUUGAAGAAAUUCUUGAUUACAUGAAAGAAUCAGUUAGAUGAGGUUCAACAUUAGAAGGAUCAUACUGCACCUGUAACUUGUCAUCCACAUAUUACACUGCAUACAUAUAUACAGAGUACUCCAUUCCAUGACCUGAAAUUUAUGUCCUGUUAUUUAAGCUUGUACAUGUCCUGUUGUCAAUAAUGAUGUCUAUGGCUUAGAAUAUAAAGUGAUUUUCUUGAGGUUGUAAUAAAUUACUGCGAGGAGUGUAGUGUGGGUAUAUAUUUCAACCUGUCUUAGCAGCAUGGGUUUUGACUCAUGAAGCCCAUGUCAAGGGUUCAAGACUGAUACCAACUCUCCAGUGAUGUGGGUUUAUGUGAGUAUAAAGUUUGUUCAUCGGCAGCACAUGCCCAAACCUCUGCCUUGAUCGGUUAUAUUUGACUUCUUCAUCCUAAGACACAUGAGAAACAUGGUCAACCUUGCCACAUGGAAAGCACCAUAGAUAUGGGUGAGUAAUCUUUUCCAGCAGUAACUUGCAAUUGGUAUACCAUAAUCCGUAGUGGCUUUGGAACUAUUCUCACAUACUGACAUGCGCAGUAGAUUGUUCCUGACACAACUUGCUUUUGCUUAAUUACUAUAUCUCCAGAGCAACUUAGCGAGCAACUUAGCGAGCAACUCUGUCAUCCUAGAAUGUGGGCUUUCAAUGCGACUUGGCAUCUGUCUGUUUGGAUAUAUUGUGUUCUUGUGGCUUGAUCAAAGAAUUCUUAAGGAUCUACUCUGUCUUUCUGUGGUCUUUCUGAUGAUGUUAAUGAUUGCAUGUAGUUGUCAUAUUCGUAAAUGGGAAUGAAUCAGUUGCAAAUUAGUUCUUGCUUCGCCAUCUAGGUAGUACCUCUUUCCUUUCAUAUUGGACAUAGUACCUACAUAUAAACUCCAGUUGAUGUGAACAAGCCACUUCUAUAUGAUCCUUCUUAUACCACAUCUUUAAUCUUUUCUAAGGUGAUACCAUGCAGUCCGUGCAUUCAUUUUAGCUUUGAUCUCUUCAUGGGGGGUUAUCUUGCAGCUUUGUUGUUUGGUAGUUUGUCCCUUGAGAAAAAACUCGAAAGAAUAAGGCGAUCUCUUACCAUUCUUGCAGUCAACAGUGUCAUCUUGCAGUUUGCAAUUCAUAGCACUUCUUAAGAAUGAUUGAACUAGAUUCACAAGGCCAAUCCCUAAUAUAAUUGAGAUCAGUCUUGUUAUUUACUGUUAUGGAUACUAAAAUAUUAUCUCUUCGUAUCUAUUUUUAGGUUGUCUUGAUUCAGAUUAUGGUUUGUUUUAUGUAGCAUAUUGCUUUUCCUAAGUACACUUUUAUGUUUUCUGUUGUGCAAGUGAAAUAAUUUCAUUUAUCAUGAAGCUCUUAUUCUUUUUUUUCUCUGUCAAUUUCUUUGUUAUUGUAGCUAUGCUGUUCUUUUGGCUGAAAUAAAGGAUAAGGAAGGCCAGGCUCAAGUUCUCUCUGCAGCUCUUGAAGUAUGGCCAGUUCUUCGUGCACCUAUUUCUACACUGGAUUGAUAUCUUCCUUUCAUAAUCUUACAUUGUUUUGUUUGUGCAUGACAUUGGUAUUUAAAAGAUCCAUCUGUCUUUUUAAUCCAAAUUCUAAUGUUCAUUCUUUUACAGCGCUUGCCUUAUUCUAAUAUAUUGGUGGCUAAUGUUCUGUGUAAUGGCUUUUAGAUUGCAGAGGAUGGAAAUCAAGAUGGUGAUUCAAGAUUCCGAGCACUUGUUGCCAUUGGUUCACUGGUAUCCUUUGAAAUUUAAGUUUGUAUCUACAGUUGUUCAGUAUUUAUUUGAACAUUGGCAUAAAAUGUUUACAGAACCAUGUAGAAUAAUCUGCUUAAAGUUAUCCAUUUUUCUAGAAUACUCGAGCUUUUACAUACAUGCACUUGCACAUACACAUAAUAGGUACAUAUAUUUGUAUGUACCUGCUAACGUACCUGCCUACAUAUGUGUAUUCUGAACAUUGAUGUGCAUUGAUCUUUCUUGUGCUGCUUUUAAUCAUUUUCUCACUUUGAAAAAUACUAGCUGCAGUAUAUUUUUUGCAAUGAUUCUAGUGUCCUGUUCCAAAGUUACCAGAUUGCACUAUGACAACUGUUCUUUUGUUUUCUUCAUGCUUAGUGGUCUUCUUGUGCCUGGAAGCACAUUCAUACUAACCUGAUCCACUAAGAAGCUGAUGGAUAAAACAAUAUGUUCAGGCAAGAGUAACAGUAUUUAAUAAGAAUCAGCAAAGCCCUUCAUUUGUUCCUUGAUGAGGAGAAUUGUAGAGAGACUACAGAGAAAAUGACCCGCACUCGCACCCACACCCGCACCUGCACGAAUAAAAAACCAGGAAAAAAUAAGAAAGAAAAGAAAAGAAAAGAAAAGGACACCAAAGUUCAGAUUUGGAACAAGCCACAUGACCUUGACAAAUUUUGUGAAACCCUCAUAGUUUCUCUCAUGAGCCUACACUAUGAAUUAGACACAUUUAUAGAGUUCCUAAACCCAAGCCAAGUAAAACCCAAUAAUAACAACUUUCCUGUGAAUAUAUCUGUUAACAAGAUCCUGUUAACAUAAGGAUUAGACACAUUUAUAGAGUUCCUAAAACGAACCAAGUAAAGCCCAAUAAUAAGAACUUUCCUGUGAAUAUGUCUGUUCACAAAAUCCUGUUGACAUAAGAAUUUGACACGAUAUAUGGCAGGUUUAUUGGAAAGCAUGCUUUUCAUGUGAUGAAAUUUAAAAAGUAGAGAAGGAAAAGAAAACAGCUUUUUUCUAAUCUUUAAUCCUAGUCAAAGAAUCCAGGCCCAGAAUUUGAAAAGCAAUAAAAAAUGUGAUAUAGCGAAAUUUCCUUCGAAGAUCAGGGGUGCUGAGUAAAUUGUCAGUGCAUCAUUUAGCCUUUACUUGAUGCCAGUUAAUUUAUCUUUGAAUUUAUAAAUUUAGGUGGGUAGAAUAGGUUAUCUCAGCACUGGUUGGCAUGUCCCAUGAUGGUUGUUUACUUGUUACAUUGGAUUCUUCUGUUGAUCAAUUUCAAAUUUGGCAUUUCUAUUAUGUAAUAUUUUUACUUGGGGGACUGUUAUCCCAUACCUCUUUGUUUAACAUUUGAGCAGUCACAUUGUAAUAGCAUUGCGUUGGUUCACCUGAUAUAUUAAUUCUGCUACGAAAAUACAUUGAUGUGAAUUGAAUUUUACCAUUUCGGAUGAUUUCUGAUGUUUGAAACAUGUUACUAUUAUGUGCCAUUCAUUUUGUGUCCUAUUUCAUCAGAGGAGGGGCUGUUAGAUGCCUGCUCAAAGUAUCCAUAGGUUUGUCCUUGCAUGGUUGUUAGUGAGAGUGAGUUUAACAGUUGGUAAGGAGUUAUUCCAAUUGGGGAUCAUGCAAUCCCAAAAAAAGUUGGGAUGCUGGAAACUGCCUUUGAGAUGGAACUUGGCAUCCUAUAUUUUUGGGGGGAUUGUUCAGUGGAAACUGCAAUGGCGUGAUUUCCUCCUUUAGUUUAGUCUCUCUCAUCAUUACCCCUUCCCUCAACGUUGGCCACACAUGGAGUUUGGGAAGGACAGCUUAUGCCAGCAUCUUGACAGGCCUGUAUUGAAUAAUUUUAUCUAUUAUUAACUACAUUACUGCUUCACUUUUUUACUCCUGAAAUAUUGACAUUCUGUCUCUGAGCUUUAAGACCGUCAUCUGUUACUGGAAAUAUUAGUUCCUUUCAAUAUCUUUUCAAUGCAUCCAUGAAAUCUGUAUGUCCUGGAGGAGACUAAAGUUUUAUACAUUUGUUUUCCUUGAUUUAUUUUAAAUUAGAUGUUAGAUGGCCUUGUAAAGUUGAUUGCUAUUGAUUUGGAUGUCCAAAGUGUUGCAAAUGAUGCAAAAGCUUCAAUGGAAUCGAAGAUUGUGGAGGUUGGAGCUGAUAUUGAGCUUAUAAUAAAAGAAGCAUAACAGUCAAUUUGCUGGUAAUUCCUAUCAUAUGAUAUUUCUCCAAAUUUCUCCAUGGAUCUUUCUGUUGCUUUCUGGUACUGGGUGAUCAUGCUUAAGAUCUUCAGUGCAGCCAGCUAGAUUUGGUCCUGAUGAUAUUAGCUGCUUUCUUUUUCUAUCCACACAGCAAUUCAGCAGGUUCAGAUAUGCAGAUUAAUUCUAUUAGCAUGAGCUGAAAAGCAGCCUUUGGCAAAGAGAGGCUCUGUUAUGCAGUAAACCAAAAAAAAAAGAUGGCCGUGGUUUAUAUGAUUUGAAGACCCAAUGGCUUGGAAUCAAUGGCAUGACCUCGGCAAAAGGCAGGCGUGCAUUUGCAUGUGCCUUUGGACUAAAGAUACUUUCACCAACUUCGUGUUUAACAGACGGGCGUGACCUGUGGUGGACAUGAAGUUUUGUACAUUUGCUCCUUAAUUUCUUCUUGUGGACAGGUCCUGAAUCUUCUCUGAACUUAUUGGUGAAGAAACUCUCUUAACCUAUGACUCAUGCUCUGUUGAGGGUCCUUUGUUUCAACUCUCAUUUUGAGGGCUCGAUUGUGUCCAUCUGUUGGGCUUCAUUCACAUCUCGGCCCAAGGAUUUCGAUGCAAGUCCAAUGAUUACUACCGUCACAUUUUAUGUGCAGCCAUCUGAUUUUGCUGAAUUUAUUUUAGUUUUCUUAGGCGUAUUUCCAGGUUAUAAGUGACAUCAAACAGGAAUAGGCAUGAUACCUCCCAUCGAUGGUGACCCGCAGUGUUCUUGUGGGGACGGAAUGGUUGGAGAGCAUGAUUUGUCAUCUUAGAGGCUCACGUAUGAGUUAGUGCACGAGGGAGGACUUCUUCUCGCCUUCGAUUAAAAAAACAGUAGUUCCAUACAUAUUUUCCGUGGAUCAGUUUUAUAUGUUUCAAUUGAACGGUGUGCUGGAGAGGAUGGGGCUAGACGACUAGAUGCAUAAAAAAAUUGCUAUGAUAAACGUAUGGAUAUCAUUAGCACAAGUUCCGAGUUGUUCGAACUUAUCUGUAGCUGGCGUUUCUGUCCUGGUAUUGCCAGUUAUCUUUUAAGCUGGUCGGCUUCGUAUCUCAGUGCUCCAUCUAAAAGGAAGCAAUCAAAGGAUGAAAAUAAACAGGAGGAAGGAGAAAAAACCUGCUCCGCUCGGUGAGAUGGGAUCUUGCACGAUGCAAGUGGGAAAUGCAUCAGGAGAGUAAGGACAUCGCUCGGAUUUGAUGUGUCAUGGUUGACCAGAUGGUCCCUGGACGUCUAACUUUCUCAGUUUAGACAGCCUUUGCAAAAUUGCUCAGGAUCCGACUUUUGAGCUCGAAUCUUCUAUGGUGCACGUGCGUUACUGUAUGAGAGUGCUGAUAACUCAUCAAGAGAUUGAUAGCUAUGUAUGGCUGUCAUUAAGAGAUGGAUGACCGCAAUCAAGAGUAUAUGCUAGUGCAGAUCCUGGUCGUCCGACUUUUACUCUGCAAAGCGCAGCAAAUGAUGCAUGGCAUCUCCAUGGGCUCACGCACUAGCUGGCUAAAACUUCGCCUGAUACACUGAAUGGCUUCUUGACCAUACCAUCCCUUCGUAUGUGAAAGAAAGUUUCUUGAGCCUGACAGGCCUGAUUGGGGUCAUUUAUGGGCGCAACCUUCUUGGCACCUUCUUUUAAACCAUGAAACAGGAAUGCUCAAGAGAACAAGGGAUGGAGGAAUAAGAAGUUACAGUUUUAGAAAGCUGGAAAAACGAGCUCUGGAGAAUUUGAUACUAAAGUAAAUCUUUAAAUCUAUUCAGAUCUAUAUACGAAAUUCCAAGGAAAAUUUGAUUAGGGGAGAAGAAAAAAAAAAGUCGUACAAUAUUGGUCUUGAAAACAUGCCUAAGUUGCAUUGCAUCUUCGGUUUUAAUUCUUACGAAGCACUUUUCAGAGGAUUGAAGAAAGGUUUGCUUCUUACUGAACCACUUCGAUGAACAGAGAAGAUGGAAAAAAAACUUACAAACUAAUAUAUCGAAACUUCAAGAAAACAUAUCCUCUCUCUGUAUAAGAAAUUAUGAUUCUAUGAAAUAUACUAUACAAAAAAAGGGCACCUUUUCCUUCAGUUCCCCAAAAAUAUGGUAUAAUCCUCUCCUUCGCCAAUAACUCGUAUAGGUGAUACAUCAUCUAAACGUAUAUGAACAAGAGAAAGGAGAAGGAUAGCCUAAUUCGUUCCUCCUGGUCCUCUCCGUCAAAUUCCGAGCCGAGCUAAUUUGUUCCCUCGUAAUCAUUGCUCUUUACUAGGCUCGGAAGAUCCGGAAUUAUUAGUCUGGUGGCAAUAAACGCUGCCGCAAUCGUCGUCCAAGGCGAGACCUUUCCGCCUCCUGACCGCCCUCUUGACGUGGAAAUCGACAAAGAGGACGAGCAGCGCGGCGUUGAGCACCGAAUUGAACAACCACGCACCGAUCCCGUUGCAGCCCCCCUUGGAGAGGUGGAGCAGGAGGACCCCCAGAUGGCACACCAGGUUGCACCCCAGCAGCGCCACCUGGCACGCCACCACCACCAUCGGGAAGCACGAGGCGGCGCCGCCCCUGCCGGCCACCGGCAGCCGCACCCCGAGCCAGAACCGGUACCCAAAGACCACAACGUGCGCCAGGGUCGCCGAGAGGAUCGCCACCACCUGGAACGACUGCGAGAACUCGAGCCAGAGGAAGGACAUGCACACCAGCGCCGAGUGGCUGAAGAGCCUCCCCAGCGCCCGCGGCCGUCGCCGGAGGAUCGCGAAGAAGGUCCGGAGGAGGUGGAGGAACCGAGAGAGGUAGAAGGCGUACGACCAGAAGAAAACUCGGCCGGUGGGGCGGGUCCCCAGGGGGAAACAAAGGAGCCACUGGAAAGGGGUGGUCUUGUUGCGGCGCCAGAACCAGCGGGUGUCGCGGAUCUCGGCGAGGGAGGAGAGGAGGAUGCCGAGGAAGAUGGCGGCGGAGGCGAGGGCCAUGGCGAGGGAGUGGAGGGCAGGGAAUGGGCCGAGGGGGACGGGGCGGCGGCGGCCGGCUAGGUGGAGGGCGAGGUGGAGGAAGAGAGAGAGUGAGAGAUAGAGGACGAUGGCGGAGAAGAGGAAGGACCAGGUGGAGCCCCAGGACUGGGCGUGGCUCCACCGGAAGCCCACGAUGGCCGGGUGCUCCGCCAACCAGUACGUUAUUCCCCUCAUUCUAUCCCCAGGUUUGGGUUGGAAUGGGAGGAGGGAAAGAGGGGAUAUAUAGAUGGAUGAAAAGGGAAGGAGGGGGGAAGACUUGACGAGGAAAUAAAGAGCGGAGGAAUAAAAAAACGGAAGACGGGGGCUGGAUUCCGGACCGUGGUUUGAGUCAAGGUGACGGUGGGUUGUUGUGAUUGGUGCUUCAGUGGGCGGGAGCAUGCAAAGCCGGUCUCCUUCGGUUUCAUAUUUAUAGGUCCACGGGAGGGGUCAGGGGCGUACCUUUCGAGCGAAGGAAGGUGAAUUUCGCGCCAAAGAAGGAUUCACCUUUCUUCGCGCGAAUCCACCGUUGGAUUAUCAGCGUUUGCUUUGAGAGUCGUAUGAUGGGUAAUCCAACGGUGUUUUGCACGAAGGAAACUGAAUCCUUCUUUCGCGCAAAAGAUUCAACCCGGUCCCCAACGGGAUAAGAGGCCUUUCGUUUUGGGCACACCCGGCUACAUUGGUAUUUAAACGGUUCUCUCCGUUUGCAUGCUUGUCGGCUGGCUAGAAAACUUAAUAGUGAAUCCGAUGUAUAUAUAUUUUUUUGAUAAAAAAGUAUAAAUUAAUUAAUUAAGAUGAGUAUGCAUACAUUCAUGAAAAUCAAAAAGUAAAUAUUCAAAAAUUAAUAUGGAAGACCCAGUGUAAUUGGUCGUAAAACUCGCAAUCCAAUUCAUAACACAAUUAGCUUUUUGGUAGAUAUGUAAAACUUCAAUAAAAAAGUAAAGCACGCAUCAUCCACCAAGUAGAUGCUGGCAUCAAUAAACCGUGGAUCCAAUAGCUAUAUAAUAACCGUCAAGAAAUCUUCCUCUAAAUAAAUGGGAGAAGCAAUCAACCUUUGCGUAGCAUAAGUCAGUUCUUCCCAUGCAACCUCGUAAUGCCACUAAUAAAACAAUAAUAUCAAAGAUCUUAAUACUUCCAGUGUCCAUUAGCAUCUUUUAUGGCAAAAUCUGUGAUACCAAAAGCUCCUCUCUUUUGUACAGUACCAUCAACAUUGACCUUAAUAUAGCUGGGGAUAGUGGCUUCUAGGAGAACUAACAUAAAUAAGGAGACGCAGAAACUGCAACAAAAGAGCUACAUAUUUCGCCUUGUAUUACAGAUCCCUCUGAAGUCAUAUAAACAAAUCUUCUUUCAUAAUGGAGAUCCAUUAUGAGAACAAGAUCAGGAAGAUAAUAAAGACCAAAACCCACAUUGUGCUCUCAUGAACUCACUCCAGAAACUACCGUCAGCCAAAACGAACUUGCAGCAAAUUUUGCCAUUAAAGCUUCACUUUGAGCAAUCAACCGGGACAUUUAGGACUUCUGCUUCCNCUUUGAAUAGCUUCCUGGCUUUAGGGCCCAAACCUGGUAUUAGGAAAAGAUCCAGGGCCGUGGAGAUUAGUUCUUAUUACGAUGGGCGCCCUGCACCACUACUCAUAUGCCUUUCGUUCGUUUGACCUCAUUUUAAACGAGGAAGAUGUGAAGUACUGCUUUAGUAUAUAUAAUUGCGCCCACGCAAUCAUGAUAGGCGUAUUGUGCCAAAAACCGAUGGCUACUUUUAAGAAAAAGCAAAGUAGAACGAUCAUAGGAGUGUUGUGCUUACAAUUAGGCAACUGGGGUUUCCUAAAUAUGAAUAUAUAUAAAAAAAAAGGCAAGGUAUACGAUCAUAUGGGACAUUAUGUUUGGUGGGUGGUAGGCAUGUACUUUCCUAGUUUCUUUCGUUGAUUGUGAUAUCCAACCUGAAUUAGGCACACUUUAGAUACGAAAUAUAGGACUAACCAAAGAGAGAGAGAGAGAGAGAAGGUUAAUAUGUUGCGAAGAAUCCAUUACAACUCAUAUUAUGUAUCCAAAGACCCCUUUCGAAGCUCGUUCUUCCUCUCUCUAUACUUAGAUAGAUUCAUUGUUCAAUAAUUUGUCUUCAUGUACUUUUACUAGCAUUGUUCUAUUUUAUCGUAUUAUCAUAUUUAUACGGUCCUAGAGAGUUGCAGCCAUGCAUAUUGCUACAACUAGCUCGCUUGAAUUAUUUAUGUUUUAGCCAACAUGAUUGAUGGAUCCCUAUGCGUAUGGCCUUGAAGCUAUUUAUGUUUUAGCCAAUCACUUAGUUAAUCCAAGAUAUUCUCUAAACUUUCAACCAAGGUAAUACAAGCAGCACAGUUCUCAAUUGACAUUUGACAGUAUAUAGAGAGGAGUCGUAGCUUGUAUUUUGUUAACAAAACCUUUCUCUUAUCCUACUGGCUACUGUCCUUGUUUAGCCUAUGAAUUGCUCUGGAGUCUGAAAUGGAUGUUGAAAGCUGACAAAAGAAACAGAAGACGGCGACCGCCAUUACCUUAGCGUCCACACCCUUCCCCAUUUCAAACGUAAGAGCAUCAAAUAAACAAUUACCUACUCCUCUAUCGGCAUGCUAGUAGUCAAUACUCAAUAAUCUAUACAGCGGAUUUGGUUCAGGUGAAGAUUAAAGAAUGUAGAGGAUGUUUUGUUAUGAUUGGAUUUCUUUUUGUCACGCUUUAAUUGUUUAACUUCGUUCACAUCAAAAAAUUGUUUAAAUCCUUAAGUUGGUUUUGAUAAGACAACGCAAAGACGCAAGGUGGCAGAGUAGUUCGGCUGUCUCCUCAUCGUUACUUCCAAAAAAAAAAAAAAGAACAAAAACAAAGACAAACGCAAGACAAAACAAAAAAGAAACCAAGAAACAAAAGAGGCACAAGGUGGGUCUUGUAAGCACUUUGAGAAAAACUCACUCUAAGUUGUGGCUGGAUACUUGUAGAGUCCUCUUGUAAUUUUCUUUUAAGGUUUUCAAGAGAGGAAAAACUCACUCAAUUGAGCCUUCCCGCUUAUCCUAAAUACAACUCAGUCAGAUUAGGACCUCAAGCUAUCACCUCGAUGUUUUGAGCUAGCCUAUGACAUCUAGUUUUUUCAGCUGCGUCUGCUUACGCUCUAGUUGUCGUAGAAUCAUCAUUCAUUGGUUUUAAUNNNNNNNNNNNNNNNNNNNNNNNNNNNNNNNNNNNNNNNNNNNNCCCGAGCCCGAGCAGUUGGCAGUGAUUUGAGAAAAAAACCUGACGAGUACGAAAAUUCCAAUUUGCUUACGGGGCUCUUCAUUCUGAAAGCAUGGAUUGCUUCUGAGAAGUUCACAAUUUUCUUUACCAUGAUGCGAUCUUAUGGAGAGGAGAUCACAUUUACGCUAGGUCCAACUCCUGAAUUGAAUGAAUAUUCAAAAAUAAAAAAAAGAAAGAAAAGAAACCAUUAAGACAGUGUUUAAUUCCAUGGAAUUUCUUCCGCCAUCCAUUGCAGCACAGCCGUUUCAAGAGCAGGGGCGGCUAAGUGCAGUUCUUUGAAUCAAACGUUGAAUGAAAUUGAAAUCGAUUCUUUUUUAGAUAUCCGGAUAGAUGGAUGGGUCUAUCUUUCUAUUCAUAUAUAUUUUGCAAGAAGCCCCAAAUCCUUGAUUAGGCUGGGGGAAAAAGCACUGCUUUGGGCCCAGGAAGCGAAGGGAAUGGGCUCGGCUGCUUCUCCUCGACACUUCGAGAGAUUGACCAUAAGGAAGACCUCUCGCUCAAUAUGCUCUUCACCCCAAAAUGGGCAGGAGUAGGCGCGAAGUUAACAUAAUAAGUUAAAUUAUGACAGGCACCAGUUACCUCCUAUGUUAAAAUAUCUCUUAUAUUAUAAAAAGGCCUCUUCUUAGGCCUUCAGCCCACGGGCUAAGAAUUAGCCAUCCAAGAUUCAGGAAUGUCAACAAAUACAUACAUACAUACAUGCAUAUACACACACACACAUACAUAUACACAUACACAUAAAUAUAUAUAUUUAUAUGUGUAUGUAUAUAUAUACAUGUAUGUAUGCAUGUAUGUAUAUUCAGCUAUUUCUUGGAGUUGGGGAAUAUAUCUUAUUUAGAACUUUUAGAGUUCUAGUGAGUUUGAGAGCUUGGUUUUGUGACAUUUUCAUACUCUUUGGCCGCUAGCGAGCUUUAAACUGAUCUUCACACAAGCAUGUAAAUCAUCGACUGAGUCAUAUAAAUUUUUAACCUUUUGUGUAUGUCUAACUUCUUUGCACAACAUGUUCAAAACAAAUAAGAAAGAAGGAUUGCUUGAAGCCCGUAACUUAUGUAGCUGGUCUCUUUCGUCUCUCAAUGGGAGAGGUCCCGGUUUUAAUCACUGGAGGUGGAAAAAUCACCAUAUUUCUCUAUAAAAUAAGAAAGAAACUUGAUGCACUCAACCUACAAGUGGUUAAUCAGGCAUGCUCAAGGAAGGUGUCAUCAUGAUAACUUGGAAAUAUGUGAAGUGUAACAUGAUAGCAAAUAAGCUUUCACAAUCGCCGCACCCCACCUCUCUUUGAAGGAGGUUUCAUGCUUGAAUCUUGAAAGUGCUUCUCCAAGUCUGACAUGGAUAAUCUUUAAUUAUUUUCAUUUCAAAUAAUUAAUGGUGUUUUCGUUGUAUCCUAAAAGACAAGUGCAACAUAUUGGCAAAAAAAAAAAAAGUGCAAGAUAAUGAAACGUCGGUAUAUUCUUUUCAAGAAGGACUGAGUUGCUUUGUAAGGACCAUAUAAGCAUAUGUUUAGUCCAACACUAGCUAUGUAUUAAGUAGAUUUUGUGUAUUUAUAAAGGACCAAAGAAUUUAAAUAAUACUCUUUGACUAUAAUUUUUUUGAAUGAGAUCCUAUGUUAUUACAAAUGGUAUCAGAGUGGACCAGCCCAUAGUCUAUGUGGACUUGAGGACACUGCAGCAUGAGCCUAUUUAAGUUGAUCAUGGUGUUUUUGAUUAAAUUUAAAUAGAUUUAGACUUUUAGUGUGACAAUCUAUAACUUUACCAAAAUGGCUAGCUAGAAGGUGUUAUUUAAGUUUAUUUGCUCUGCAUAAAUACUCAAAAUUUUUUUAGCACAUAACGAAUAUGGAACUAAAGAUGCACCUGCAUGGAUUCAAAGGAGAAAUAAGAUCAUAUGAAAGUGGGUAAAUCUAUACCAUUGUGUCAUAUUGUCUUGGAAGUUGAUCUUACAUUUAUAUUAAUAUGGUGAUUGUAUUUGUACAAAACAAGUAGGUUUAGAUGCACAGGGUAUGCAGCCUCUCGUGCCUGCUGUAGUAUGGAUUUGCUAGUUCUUUUAUAUGUAAUAUGCAUGGAUAUCAAAUUGAAAGUGGAAUUCUUCCAGAAGUCAUUGCACCACUUGAAAGAUGUGUAACUUUUUUUUUUUUUAUUAAGAAGAUGUGAACCUUUUUCGAAGUUUUUUUUUUUUAAAGGC